AGAUUGGACGCUGGCGGAAUGCUUUACACAUGCAAGUCGAGCGGCAGCGCGGGGGCAACCCUGGCGGCGAGCGGCGAACGGGUGAGUAAUACAUCGGAACAUGUCCAGUUGUGGGGGAUAGCCCGGCGAAAGCCGGAUUGAUACCGCAUGAGCUCGAGAGAGGAAAGCGGGGGACCGUAAGGCCUCGCGCGACUGGGUUGGCCGAUGUCCGAUUAGCUAGUUGGCGGGGUAAUGGCCCACCAAGGCGAUGAUCGGUAGCUGGUCUGAGAGGAUGAUCAGCCACACUGGGACUGAGACACGGCCCAGACUCCUACGGGAGGCAGCAGUGGGAAUUUGGACAAUGGGGGAAACCCUGAUCCAGCCAUUCCGCGUGAGUGAAGAAGGCCUUCGGGUGUAAAGCUCUUUGUCCGGAGCGAAGCGGUUACGGUGAAUAUCCGUGACUACUGACGGUACCGAAGAAUAAGCACCGGCUAACUACGUGACCAGCCAGCCGCGGUAAUCUA
rnacentral:rRNA from 1 species